ACGCUCGACACCUACAGGCAGCAGUGGGGAAUAUUGCACAAUGGGGGAAACCCUGAUGCAGCGACGCCGCGUGAAGGAAGAAGUAUUUCGGUAUGUAAACUUCUAUCAGCAGGGAAGAAAAUGACGGUACCUGACUAAGAAGCCCCGGCUAACUACGUGCGAGCAGCCGCGGUAAUCUGAGCGGGCUGGCAAGGC
rnacentral:rRNA from 1 species